rnacentral:lncRNA from 1 species
CUUAAACCUGGUCUCCUCAGUAAGACCAUAAACAUCAUUUAGGACAGAGAUGACUUCCUAUAUUUCCUCCAAAGCUUCCCCCUGCUUCCUAAUUUAUGUGGUAGACACAUAGAGUUCAGGGACUAUCAGGUGAACUGGAAUAUCAUGUUAUGCUAUUUAAAUACAGAACAGUGGUUACAAUGGUGCCAGGCACUGAGCUGAGUCUUGCCUACACCACCUCAGUUAAUCCUCAAGCCACUCAGGAGAACAAAGCUGUGUUCCCGUUUCACAGGUGACUAGAGCAGUGAGUGAAGACGCCUUAGCUCACUGCUGUGGAAUCCAAACCUAGGCUCGGCCCUGCCUAGAUGGUGUCCUGCACCCACCCUCCGUUGUUCCUGUUGUUGGGCUCCAAUGCUCCAGCCGCAGAUUGGCAGGAGGAAAGAUGGGAGAAAUCACCAUUCCGCUCAUCCUCACUCCAAGCACCAAUACAAAUAGAGAGACUGAGGCCAAAGAAGCUAGGAGUCACAAAGGAAUCCAAACUUCAGUUCCGCGGCCCAGGAGUCUUCCUUUCAGCCUGCCGCUUAAUCCUGACUCUGUAACUG